CCACCUCUAUCAGUUCAGCCACCCUGUUGCCUGAUGAUACAGGUGCACAUCCAUAACUGUCAGGAGAAGAAAGAUGAAACCAGGUAUCUGGGAGCUUCAGUAGUUUCUAUAUAAUGAAAUCUAUUUGGGCCCAAGCCAGGUACCUCUCCCCAGAGAGCAGAAGUGACAGAUCUGGCCCAGGCUGUCAGAUGUAGAGAAGGAAAGUCCACCACAAAAUACAGUCUGUCAGCCCAUAUGGUUUUACUACCAGGCAUGUCCACAGUAUGAUCUAUAUAGAAAGAGGACUUCUCACUGCUGGGACAAAGGCCAUUAAAAAGUCUUGGCCCUCCUAGAGGCUAUUUGGCUUCACUACAAACUGCUCUCCUCUAUUGCCAGGCUGUUGACCUGGCUGCCUGACAAACAGUCCUCAGACCAGCGGGACCUAUUGAUAUUCUGAUGACAUUUCACAAACAUGGUACUGCCUGAGACUCCAUGGUGAAGAAGAAAUGGACAGCUCAAACGGUCAGGUUGGUGGAGGCCACCGGAGGGAAGGAUCAUUCUCCUAGAAGCAACUGACAGGACUCUGGGAACUGAAGUUCACCAGGCUUCUGAUCCAGGGUCCACAAAACUCUCUGAGUUUCCCAGACCAAGUGCUUGGAUUGUACAACAUAGCAUCGUCCUCCAGGCUGCAACCAUGAGUUUUCCCAGUCAAGUUGUACAGAUGUCUGGUCAUGUUAAGU
rnacentral:lncRNA from 1 species